GUGGGCUGUGGGAGACCAGAGCUUGAGGGGUUUAUAGGGAAAGGCCCUGGACAGCCACAGGCUGGGCUCCCUGGUACCACCUCAGGGCUCAGGGCAAGCCCAGCUGUUAGUCAGGGCACAGUACCAGCCAGCUGCUCCCUGAAGGGCACCAGGGCCCUUAUCAGAAAAGGCCUGCCCAGCAGUGCCCCCAACAAGGCAACAGGUUCUGCUGGGAGCCUGGAUUUCCAGGAAUUUGGGAUAAGAACUGAGAAGGCACCUGCAGAGGAAACAGGUUGGAGGACUCAAUGAACCACCAGCAUGCUGCAGACAUUACACGUGCAAAACUGAUCUUAACAAAAAUAUAUGAGAGAACACUACACAGAACAAGAGCAGAAAUAGAUCCACAUGCAGGAAAACAGGAGAUACAGAGAAGCCAUUUGAUGCACACGGAUGGAACAUUCAGAACUGUUUAGGGGUGGAGAAGAAUAGGACCAACAGCAUCCUUCCCCAGAAGUAUAUUUUAUAUUAAAAAACAUCACUUUCAUUAAUUUGGGGAAUAAAUUCCUCUCUGAGGAAUUUUAUU